AAUCAUUCUAGGGCCUCCGGCAAAGGCACUAAUGCCCCCGGCAAAGCCUUUUCCGGAGGCUUUUUCUCGGGGCCGCCGGCAAAGGGCAUCGGUAUGAAGGCAUGCCGUUAAAGGCCUCUUUGCCGGAGGCCUUUUUACGUGGCAAAGAAAAGUUAAAGGCACUGCCGUGGAGUAACACUGGGCGAGCCUUUGCCGGAGGCAAAUAACUGCCGUCGGCAAUGAAUUAAUGAAAAAAUAAAAAAUAAAAGACGUGGCCCGCGGCCUCCUCCGCAUGACCAUGCUGCUGCCCAGGGUCCCCUAUCGCCGCGAGCCCGUCGCAGCCGUGCCGCUGCUCCUCGGCCCGACGCCGCUGCUGCCUCGCCUCCCUGCCCCA
rnacentral:lncRNA from 1 species